ACCACCUGGAAAAGGAGGGAGAAAAUGAGUUGUCUGCAGGACACAGUGGACCAUGGAAGAGCCCCUCAGGAGGAUGGUGUCAGCUUCUGCAUGGAGAUCCUGUGGAUUCAGCUGCUUUCAGAAGUGAACUGGAAAUAAUCCCUCAAAGUACCUGCUUUGAAGUAUCUCAUUGUACAGACAGAAACAUGAGAACCUGGGAGGCAGUGAGCACAAACGGAGGAACAGGCUGUCUGACAUGAAAGCUCUAAGGAAGAAGCAAUCUCCACAGUCACUGGAAGAGAGGAAGCAAUUCUAG